CACAGAACCCCGAGACACUGUUUUCCAGUACAUGAGCAGAAGCUUUUGGCUGCAGCAGAAGAGUUCCCCUCUGUCUCAUAUGAAGCUGCUGUAAAGCAUUUGCCGAUGCCUUGAUGUUCUCUCACCCAAGGGGAAUUAAUCAUGAAGAUGGAAUGAAGAGCACAGCACAGAGAACAGGCAUGGUCCAGAUCUCACAGGGCUUAUUAUGCUUUUGAAGGGUGUAUGCCCAGACAGACACAUCUACUCUGAGGAUAUCUCCUAGAGAUAGCCGUAUUCCUCUGGCUAAGAUGAGCUACUACCUGCUAGUCAGACCCACUGCGGGCGUCAGAAGCAGCGAGCAAUAGCUGAGCAGUUCCCUACUGAGAGGCAAGACAGCAGCUGUGCGGGAGGAAUGAAGGAGAAGAUGCCACCAAGGAAGCGUCGGCUGUAGCUCUUCAUCCUGCAGCCAGCUGGUGCAGCAGUGCCCACUGGCUAUCGAGGUGUUCACAUCCUCAGCUGACCUUGGGAAACACUUCCAAGCCCAAGGCUUCACAUCCUGCUUCCCGAUGAGACCCAGGCUAUACACACGCAAGGGACGUAGCUAUGAACUGUGGGAAGUCUUUGCAGAAAAGCUCUUUGAGAGGGUAAGACUGGUAUCUAGAGACACACAUGAAGUGGCGUACCUUCUCUCCCCAUCAUGUUGCAGCUUGCAUAUGUAUGUGUCAGAUUGAAAGCAGUGCCUCUUAUAAAGCAGGCUUUACUUCUGAUAAAACAGAAGUAACACACAUUCAGUUAUAUCUCCGCUAAACAUAUCCUUUUUUAUUGCUUUUCAGGAGUUCAAAGCAUUAGCAUAAAACAAUUGAGGAGGUUGUUUUUCCUAAGAGAGCAAGUGCCUGUUUACAAACUUAUUUUAUUUUCACAAUAUUCUAUUGUUAUUUAUUUCAGACAGAAAGCUGUCAGAUUAAUGCACUCCCUCAUAACAUAUAUAACCUGACAGGCACUGCCCAUGUCUGCAUUCCACCAUGGAAUGGUGGAAGGCAAAUUAAGUAGAAAAUGUAGAUCUCCCACUAUUUCUUAGGGCUAAAGUGAUAUUAGUUUUUAACUCAUUUUGUAUUCAUAGAGGAUCCUGCAUGUUCACAACAUAUCUGACAGAGUAAACUGUCCAAAUAAAAUGUGUGGGUUUUUUAAUUCUUAUACCAGCUACCUCUGAGAAAGUCAGACUUCAGAUGUAUAAGAAGGUGUCAUUGAGACAACACACCCCCCCCCCCCCUUAUGAACAGUUGUCAGGUAAGAAUGGAAAAAUCACAUUUAAAGUACAGUAAACCCUUUAGAAAGCAAAUCUUGGGGGGAUAGGAGUGCAGGGUGAGUAACUUUAAACCCAUGCUUAAAAUAACGCCACAAAUGGCCCUCACCCUUCAGACCUCCCAAUUCCAAAGCACAGCACAGCUCCUCCAGUACUGGCUUCCUGUGAAAGCUGUCCUGGCUUCCAGAGGCAGCAUGCAGUUAAAAACAUAGAUAUUUUUUAAAGCUGUUUCAUAUUCCUCUUUCUUUAGGAUGUGUAUCCAGCUGGUGGCAGGACUCUUGGAUCCUUUCUCCUUUCCACAAUGACAGUUUGAGUCAUUGUCCAAAAACCCCUGCGGGUUGCCCAGUUUUGUGUUGUACUUACCUAUUUUUCAGAGAAACCCUGUGGAAGCCUCAGUGGUGGUGAUGCUGGGGGUGCAGCACCCUCCUCUCACCCUACAGGAGCGAGAGAAAGGCUUGGCUCAUCCGUCCUGGGGUUUGCCUGUCCUACUCCCCCCAGCUUCUGCCUUUGCGCUUUGGGAGCCUUCAUUAUUACUGACCAGCUUGGAGGAAUACAGCUAUGCUUUUAGGACUGAUUUGCAAACGUUGGUUACUCACAGAAGCUGCUCUGGAAAGCCUGCCCGAGGUAGGCUGGCUCAGGAACCUCUCCCCUCAUCCCUUGCUGGCUCUUUACCUUUUCCUCUAUCCAUCCUUUCCCAGUGACAACUUACUUUUACUUAUCAAGUCUGUGUUAGUACCACAAAUAAAUAUCAACUGAAUUAACAUGAGGUGAGGAACAGCUCAAGAGAUCAGCUCAAAGGAAGACUAAUCUGAACACUAGCAGAAACAGAGAGCAAGGCUGGUGUCCACCAACAACCAUCUGAAAGAGUAAACAGCCUAAUUGGACAGAUGGGAAAUAAAGCCAGGGAAGAGGUGGCGUUUUGUCCAGUCCUGCAAGUCUGCGGGCAGAGGAAGACCUCAGAAGCUCAAGCACAACCUUUGGUCCCUGCCCUGUGCCUGCCUCUGGGACAAGACCAGGAUGUAUUUACAUCCUUACUCUUCCCUUCUCCCUCCUGCCCUGCUUUCUGUACAGCAAAUGAAAAUGUAUCAUCACAACACUGAAUUAAGGGUCAAGGAAAAUAUCAUUGGAAAGAAGCUGGAUACACUGAAGAUAC